rnacentral:rRNA from 1 species
GAUGAACGCUGGCGGCGUGCCUAAUACAUGCAAGUCGAGCGAAUGGAUUAAGAGCUUGCUCUUAUGAAGUUAGCGGCGGACGGGUGAGUAACACGUGGGUAACCUGCCCAUAAGACUGGGAUAACUCCGGGAAACCGGGGCGAAUACCGGAUAACAUUUGAACCGCAUGGUUCGAAAUUGAAAGGCGGCUUCGGCUGUCACUUAUGGAUGGACCCGCGUCGCAUUAGCUAGUUGGUGAGGUAACGGCUCACCAAGGCAACGAUGCGUAGCCGACCUGAGAGGGUGAUCGGCCACACUGGGACUGGGACACGGCCCAGACUCCUACGGGAGGCAGCAGUAGGGAAUCUUCCGCAAUGGACGAAAGUCUGACGGAGCAACGCCGCGUGAGUGAUGAAGGCUUUCGGGUCGUAAAACUCUGUUGUUAGGGAAGAACAAGUGCUAGUUGAAUAAGCUGGCACCUUGACGGUACCUAACCAGAAAGCCACGGCUAACUACGUGCCAGCCGCCGCGGUAA